rnacentral:rRNA from 1 species
GCUAAUCUUCCCAGGGUGAGUCGGGACCUAAGGCGAGGCCGACAGGCGUAGUCGAUGGAUAACCAGUUGAUAUUCUGGUACCCGUGUAUGUGCGCCCAGUGGUGAAUCAGUGGUACUAACCAUCCAUGGAUCUGCUGGUCAUGCUUUGUGUGUGGUUGGUGGUGAUGUGCGUGGGAUCUUCGUUGGUAGUAGCCAAGUGAUGGGGUGACGCAGUGAGGUAGCCGAGCCAUUUAUUGGAUUGUGGUGUAAGCGUGUGGCCCGUGGCAUAGGUAAAUCCGUGUCGCAUUUGUGGGUGAGGCGUGAUGCGUAGACCUUUGUGGUUGAUGUUGGUGAUCCUGUACUGUCGAGAA